UAGUCCACGCCCUAAACGAUGUUAACUCGAUGUUUGUGUUUGGCAUGAGCAUCCAAGGGAAACCGUUAAGUUAACCACCUGGGGAGUACGUUCGCAAGAAUGAAACUCAAAGGAAUUGACGGGGGCCCGCACAAGCGGUGGAGCAUGUGGUUUAAUUCGAUGAUACGCGAGGAACCUUACCAGGGCUUAAAUGCAGUUGGACAGGGGUGGAAACACCCCCUUCUUCGGACUGAUUGCAAGGUGCUGCAUGGUUGUCGUCAGCUCGUGCCGUGAGGUGUCAGGUUAAGUCCUAUAACGAGCGCAACCCCUGUGGUUAGUUGCCAGCGAGUAAUGUCGGGAACUCUAGCCAGACUGCCGGUGCAAACCGUGAGGAAGGUGGGGAUGACGUCAAAUCAUCACGGCCCUUACGUCCUGGGCUACACACGUGCUACAAUGGUAGGUACAGAGAGCAGCCACUGCGCGAGCAGGAGCGAAUCUAUAAAACCUAUCUCAGUUCGGAUCGGAGUCUGCAA
rnacentral:rRNA from 1 species